rnacentral:rRNA from 1 species
AGACAGCAGUCGCCGCGGUAAUACGAAGGGGGCUAGCGUUGCUCGGAAUUACUGGGCGUAAAGGGAGCGUAGGCGGACAUUUAAGUCAGGGGUGAAAUCCCAGAGCUCAACUCUGGAACUGCCUUUGAUACUGGGUGUCUUGAGUGUGAUAGAGGUAUGUGGAACUCCGAGUGUAGAGGUGAAAUUCGUAGAUAUUCGGAAGAACACCAGUGGCGAAGGCGACUGACUGGACAAGUAUUGACACUGAGGCACGAAAGCGUGGGGAGCAAACAGGAUUAGAUACCCCCGUAGUCCCUGUCUCUUAUAC